AAACUGGCCAAGUCCAAAAGGAGUUGGUAUGAUCACAAAGGUGAUUUCUCAGGGAGAGGCUCAUCUGUAGUACUCCAGGCAUACUGAUUGCUGUGAUUUCCCCAAAUGUCAGAAAUUCAACUGCAUAUUUUCGGGUUAAUAGGGGCUUCAUUCUUGCUCUUCCUUA
rnacentral:snRNA from 1 species